rnacentral:rRNA from 1 species
UGCAGUCGAGCGACAGAUAAGGAGCUUGCUCCUUUGACGUUAGCGGCGGACGGGUGAGUAACACGUGGGUAACCUACCUAUAAGACUGGGAUAACUUCGGGAAACCGGAGCUAAUACCGGAUAACAUUUGGAACCGCAUGGUUCUAAAGUGAAAGAUGGUUUUGCUAUCACUUAUAGAUGGACCCGCGCCGUAUUAGCUAGUUGGUAAGGUAACGGCUUACCAAGGCGACGAUACGUAGCCGACCUGAGAGGGUGAUCGGCCACACUGGAACUGAGACACGGUCCAGACUCCUACGGGAGGCAGCAGUAGGGAAUCUUCCGCAAUGGGCGAAAGCCUGACGGAGCAACGCCGCGUGAGUGAUGAAGGGUUUCGGCUCGUAAAACUCUGUUAUUAGGGAAGAACAAACGUGUAAGUAACUGUGCACGUCUUGACGGUACCUAAUCAGAAAGCCACGGCUAACUACGUGCCAGCAGCCGCGGUAAUACGUAGGUGGCAAGCGUUAUCCGGAAUUAUUGGGCGUAAAGCGCGCGUAGGCGGUUUCUUAAGUCUGAUGUGAAAGCCCACGGCUCACCCGUGGAGGGUCAUUGGAAACUGGGAAACUUGAGUGCAGAAGAGGAAAGUGGAAUUUCCAUGUGUAGCGGUGAAAUGCGCAGAGAUAUGGAGGAACACCAGUGGCGAAGGCGACUUUCUGGUCUGUAACUGACGCUGAUGUGCGAAAGCGUGGGGAUCAAACAGGAUUAGAUACCCUGGUAGUCCACGCCGUAAACGAUGAGUGCUAAGUGUUAUGGGGUUUCCGCCCCUUAGUGCUGCAGCUAACGCAUUAAGCACUCCGCCUGGGGAGUACGACCGCAAGGUUGAAACUCAAAGGAAUUGACGGGGACCCGCACAAGCGGUGGAGCAUGUGGUUUAAUUCGAAGCAACGCGAAGAACCUUACCAAAUCUUGACAUCCUUUGAAAACUCUAGAGAUAGAGCCUUCCCCUUCGGGGGACAAAGUGACAGGUGGUGCAUGGUUGUCGUCAGCUCGUGUCGUGAGAUGUUGGGUUAAGUCCCGCAACGAGCGCAACCCUUAAGCUUAGUUGCCAUCAUUAAGUUGGGCACUCUAGGUUGACUGCCGGUGACAAACCGGAGGAAGGUGGGGAUGACGUCAAAUCAUCAUGCCCCUUAUGAUUUGGGCUACACACGUGCUACAAUGGACAAUACAAAGGGCAGCUAAACCGCGAGGUCAUGCAAAUCCCAUAAAGUUGUUCUCAGUUCGGAUUGUAGUCUGCAACUCGACUACAUGAAGCUGGAAUCGCUAGUAAUCGUAGAUCAGCAUGCUACGGUGAAUACGUUCCCGGGUCUUGUACACACCGCCCGUCACACCACGAGAGUUUGUAACACCCGAAGCCGGUGGAGUAACCA